GUCACCUGCCAGCCGCUGUCAGUCAAUCACUUAGCUGUGUUUGAAUCCGUGUGCGCUUUACCGUGUGUGUAUAUAUGUACGUUUUUUCAACCUCCAUAGCCCCCCAUGUGCGUGGCUGUGUGUACUAACUGCAUCAGACGAAGUCGAAAGCAUCAAGUCCCUCACAACACGUAGAUCAAGAUUAAGAGCACCCCGUUGCAAAGACACAAACAAAUCACCACCGCCACCACCACCACCACCAUGACUUCCCAGAGAGACGAGUCCACGCCCUUACUGGACUACGGUAGAGGGGUCAAGAUGCCUCACAGGUUCACGGAGACGCCCCCGCUCACUCCCUCACAGACUGCCCUUCCUGCCCACCCGGACAAGCCAAGUGGCAACCCUUUGGAAGCACCUGAGCGCUCGCCAUUAAUUCAGAAAGCCCAGGGGAGCGCAAACGGCCUACCUGUGUCUACUGUCAUAGUUUACAUUCUCGGCCUGCUUGGUGUGGCGCCCCUGGUCACUCUGCCUAGCGCUGUUGCCUACUGCG